rnacentral:rRNA from 1 species
UCAUUCAGUUGGGCACUCUAGCGAGACUGCCGGUAAUAAACCGGAGGAAGGUGGGAUGACGUCAAAUCAUCAUGCCCUUAUGACCUGGGCUACACACGUGCUACAAUGGUUGGUACAACGAGUUGCGAGUCGGUGACGGCGAGCUAAUCUCUUAAAGCCAAUCUCAGUUCGGAUUGUAGGCUGCAACUCGCCUACAUGAAGUCGGAAUCGCUAGUAAUCGCGGAUCAGCACGCCGCGGUGAAUACGCUCCCGGGCCUU